UGAGACAAGCAUAUGACUACUGGCAGGAUCAACCAGGUAGCAUCUUUUUGCCGCCAGCACCGUAUGAUCAAGAAGACAAUUACUAUCCUUCCAUCAACAUAGGGCACAUCAGGCUUUCGUAAGGGACAAAUUGAUUCGGGCAAAAAGGGACAAAGUCCCCGACCGAUCUUUUGCUUCUACAUACAAGACUUCGAGCAACCCUUGGGCGUCCAACGCCUGCUAACUAAAUAAUAAAAGCAAGAGCGGACGUCCAUGGGUGCUUCAGUGUCUACGUCGCACAAAACAUUUUAGCACGAGAUAGAGUAUGGAACGUGGGACUAGAGAAUUCCGUCAAAAUAGGUAUGCUGCACAGGGGGCCAAGGCAGUCCAAGAUAAAAAGAUUAGCACUCGAACAUAAUUGAACAGGUGUGAACUAGCAAUUGUCGCUGCCAGGGCAGGGAACCA
rnacentral:misc_RNA from 1 species